rnacentral:rRNA from 1 species
UUUUACCCCSRUGAKUAAGCAUAUCAAUAAGCGGAGGAAAAGAAACCAACAGGGAUUGCCCUAGUAACGGCGAGUGAAGCGGCAACAGCUCAAAUUUGAAAUCUGGCUUCGGCCCGAGUUGUAAUUUGCAGAGGAAGCUUUAGGCGCGGCACCUUCUGAGUCCCCUGGAACGGGGCGCCAUAGAGGGUGAGAGCCCCGUAUAGUUGGAUGCCUAGCCUGUGUAAAGCUCCUUCGACGAGUCGAGUAGUUUGGGAAUGCUGCUCAAAAUGGGAGGUAAAUUUCUUCUAAAGCUAAAUACCGGCCAGAGACCGAUAGCGCACAAGUAGAGUGAUCGAAAGAUGAAAAGCACUUUGAAAAGAGGGUUAAAUAGCACGUGAAAUUGUUGAAAGGGAAGCGCUUGUGACCAGACUUGCGCCGGGCGGAUCAUCCGGUGUUCUCACCGGUGCACUCCGCCCGGCUCAGGCCAGCAUCGGUUCUCGCGGGGGGAUAAAGGUCCUGGGAACGUAGCUCCUCCGGGAGUGUUAUAGCCCGGGGCGUAAUGCCCUCGCGGGGACCGAGGUUCGCGCAUCUGCAAGGAUGCUGGCGUAAUGGUCAUCAGCGACCCGUCUUGAAACACGGACCAAGGAGUCAAGGUUUUGCGCGAGUGUUUGGGUGUAAAACCCGCACGCGUAAUGAAAGUGAACGUAGGUGAGAGCUUCGGCGCAUCAUCGACCGAUCCUGAUGUUUUCGGAUGGAUUUGAGUAGGAGCGUUAAGCCUUGGACCCGAAAGAUGGUGAACUAUGCUUGGAUAGGGUGAAGCCAGAGGAAACUCUGGUGGAGGCUCGCAGCGGUUCUGACGUGCAAAUCGAUCGUCAAAUCUGAGCAUGGGGGCGAAAGACUAAUCGAACCAUCUAGUAGCUGGUUACCGCCGAAG